rnacentral:rRNA from 1 species
CGGGUGCACUGAUCCAGCCGGGCCUUUCCCUCUGUGGAACCCCAUGGCCUUCACUGGCUGUGGUGGGGAAACAGGACUUUUACUUUGAAAAAAUUAGAGUGCUCCAGGCAGGCCUAUGCUCGAAUACAUUAGCAUGGAAUAAUAGAAUAGGGCGUGUGGUUCUAUUUUGUUGGUUUCUAGGACCGCCGUAAUGAUUAAUAGGGACAGUCGGGGGCAUCAGUAUUCAAUUGUCAGAGGUGAAAUUCUUGGAUCUAUUGAAGACUAACUACUGCGAAAGCAUUUGCCAAGGAUGUUUUCAUUGAUAAGGAACGAAAGUUAGGGGAUCGAAGACGAUCAGAUACCGUCGUAGUCUUAACUAUAAACUAUGCCGACUAGGGAUCGGACGAUGUUAUUCUUUGACGCGUUCGGCACCUUUCGAGAAAUCAAAGUGCUUGGGCUCCAGGGGGAGUAUGGUCGCAAGGCUGAAACUUAAAGAAAUUGACGGAAGGGCACCACCAGGGGUGGAACCUGCGGCUUAAUUUGACUCAACACGGGGAAACUCACCAGGUCCAGACACAGUGAGGAUUGACAGAUUGAGAGCUCUUUCUUGAUUCUGUGGGUGGUGGUGCAUGGCCGUUCUUAGUUGGUGGAGUGAUUUGUCUGCUUAAUUGCGAUAACGAACGAGACCUUAACCUGCUAAAUAGCCCGUACUGCUUUGGCAGUUCGCCGGCUUCUUAGAGGGACUAUCGG